rnacentral:rRNA from 1 species
UACGUAGGGAGCAAGCGUUGUCCGGAAUCAUUGGGCGUAAAGCGCGCGUAGGUGGCCUCGUAAGUCCGCUGUGAAAGUCCAAGGCUCAACCUUGGAAAGCCGGUGGAUACUGUGAGGCUAGAGUACGGAAGAGGCGAGUGGAAUUCCUGGUGUAGCGGUGGAAUGCGCAGAUAUCAGGAGGAACACCAAUAGCGAAGGCAGCUCGCUGGGACGUUACUGACACUGAGGCGCGAAAGCGUGGGGAGCGAAC